rnacentral:rRNA from 1 species
GCUACUGCUAUCGGGGUUCGAUUAAGCCAUGCGAGUUAAAUGUUCUUCGUGAACAUAGCGAACUGCUCAGUAACACGUGGAUAACCUACCCUUGGGACCGGAAUAACCCCGGGAAACUGGGGAUAAUACCGGAUAAGCCAUAGACGCUGGAAUGCCCUAUGGUUCAAAGCUCCGGCGCCUAAGGAUGGAUCUGCGGUCUAUCAGGUUGUAGUGGGUGUAACGUACCUACUAGCCGACGACGGAUACGGGUUGUGAGAGCAAGAGCCCGGAGAUGGAUUCUGAGACACGAAUCCAGGCCCUACGGGGUGCAGCAGGCGCGAACACUUUACAAUGCGGGAAACCGCGAUAAGGGAAUCCCGAGUGCCAGCAUCAAAUGUUGGCUGUCCGGAUGAUUAAAAAUCAUUUGUUAGCAAGGGCCGGGCAAGACCGGUGCCAGCCGCCGCGGUAACACCGGCGGCCCGAGUGGUAGCCGUUUUUAUUGGGUCUAAAGGGUCCGUAGCCGGCCUGAUAAGUCCUUUGGGAAAUCUGGCAGCUUAACUGUCAGGCUUCUAAGGGAUACUGUCAGGCUUGGGACCGGAAGAGGUAAGGGGUACUCCAGGGGUAGGAGUGAAAUCUUGUAAUCCCUGGGGGACCAUCUGUGGCGAAGGCGCCUUACCAGAACGGGUCCGACGGUGAGGGACGAAAGCUAGGGGAGCAAACCGGAUUAGAUACCCGGGUAGUCCUAGCUGUAAACGAUGCUCGCUAGGUGCCAGACACGGUGCGACCGUGUUUGGUGCCGCAGGGAAGCCGUUAAGCGAGCCACCUGGGAAGUACGGUCGCAAGGCUGAAACUUAAAGGAAUUGGCGGGGGAGCACUACAACGGGUGGAGCCUGCGGUUU